GACGAACGCUGGCGGCGUGCUUAAUACAUGCAAGUCAACGAUUUUUAAGAUAGCAAUAUUUUAAAAAUAGUGGCGCACGGGUGAGUAACACGUAGAUAAUCUGCCUUUAGGUCUGACAUAACUCGUCGAAAGACGGGCUAAUAUCAGAUAAAACAAUAACUUGGCAUCAAGUAAUUGUCAAAGCUUCGGCGCCCGAAGAUGAGUCUGCGGACCAUUAGGUAGUUGGUGGAUUAACAGCCCACCAAGCCAACGAUGGAUAGCUGGUCUGAGAGGAUGAUCAGCCACACUGGAACUGAGACACGGUCCAGACUCCUACGGGAGGCAGCAGUAAGGAAUAUUGCUCAAUGGGAGAAAUCCUGAAGCAGCAACGCCGCGUGAAGGAAGAAGGGUCCUUGACUUGUAAACUUCUGUAGAAGAGGAAAAAUAACUCCGAUAAUAACUCGGAAUUAGAUUGUACUCUUAAAGUUAAAGACCCCCGGCUAACUAACGUGCCAGCAGCCGCGGUUAA
rnacentral:rRNA from 1 species